UACGUAGGGGGCUAGCGUUGUCCGGAAUCAUUGGGCGUAAAGCGCGUGUAGGCGGCCCGGUAAGUCCGCUGUGAAAGUCGGGGGCUCAACCCUCGAAUGCCGGUGGAUACUGUCGGGCUAGAGUACGGAAGAGGCGAGUGGAAUUCCUGGUGUAGCGGUGAAAUGCGCAGAUAUCAGGAGGAACACCCAUUGCGAAGGCGGUUCUCUGGGCCUGUUCUGACGCUGAGGAGCGAAAGCGUGGGGAGCAAACAGG
rnacentral:rRNA from 1 species